CGGGACGGGUGAGUAACGCGUGGGUAACCUGCCUUAUACAGGGGGAUAACAGUCAGAAAUGACUGCUAAUACCGCAUAAGCGCACAGAGCUGCAUGGCUCGGUGUGAAAAACUCCGGUGGUAUAAGAUGGACCCGCGUUGGAUUAGCUAGUUGGUGAGGUAACGGCCCACCAAGGCGACGAUCCAUAGCCGGCCUGAGGGGGUGAACGGCCACAUUGGGACUGAGACACGGCCCAG
rnacentral:rRNA from 1 species